GACGAACGCUGGCGGCGUGCUUAACACAUGCAAGUCGAACGGAAAGGCCCCAGCUUGCUGGAGUACUCGAGUGGCGAACGGGUGAGUAACACGUGGGUAAUCUGCCCUGCACUCUGGGAUAAGCCUGGGAAACUGGGUCUAAUACUGGAUAUGACCUUUCUCUUUAUGGGGUUUGGUGGAAAGUUUUUCGGUGUGGGAUGAGCCCGCGGCCUAUCAGCUUGUUGGUGGGGUGAUGGCCUACCAAGGCGACGACGGGUAGCCGGCCUGAGAGGGUGAUCGGCCACAUUGGGACUGAGAUACGGCCCAGACUCCUACGGGAGGCAGCAGUGGGGAAUAUUGCACAAUGGGCGGAAGCCUGAUGCAGCGACGCCGCGUGAGGGAUGACGGCCUUCGGGUUGUAAACCUCUUUCAGCAGUGACGAAGCGUAAGUGACGGUACCGGCAGAAGAAGCACCGGCUAACUAUGUG
rnacentral:rRNA from 1 species